UGGAAAGAAUCUUUCUUUGAUUUAAUUAUGCAAUUUCAAAUCAAUCCAUCUGGGCGAAAUAAGUCGAAACCAAAUAGUAUUAUUGCUCACUUGGCUCUCAUCAGCAACAUAUCCAUCAGUUGAUCCAAGGGCCACCAUUGAAGAAGUUGAUUUCAUAUAGAAAAAGUGGAAGCGGAAACUCAGAGCGGACGGGACGUGCUUACGGAGAAGAAUUUAGAAGGAUCUGGAAGCCAGGGCUCGACAGCGGCGGCAGCAUGGAAGAUCACGUCGCAGCCGAAGAUGGCAUCCAGGAGUGACCGAUAGUCGGUAACGUCACCAUAGGCGAGUUCAAAGUUCUCCCCCGUAGAGGGCGAAGGGAGGCCGGACAAGUCGCUGGUUCGGCGGACUAAGGCCCGGACGGAGUGGCCCUGUUUAAGGAGGGUGUGGCACAGUACCCCGCCUACGAAACCAGAUGCACCGGUCACAACUAUCUUCUUCAUUCUCAACGACAACUUAUGGAGAGAAAAUCUGACCAGAUACGAGUGUACUUGCAGUGAUGUUUCUGUUAAGACUUUUUGCCCUGAUUUGUAGAUCGGACUUGAUUGGCCAGCAUUAUUGAGUUGACCCUUCUUAUGUACCCUUCCAUCGUCAAUAAUGAAGAGGCCUUCUUUUGUUCUAAUAUAA